rnacentral:lncRNA from 1 species
CAAGAUAAACUGGUUGUGGGAACUCCCUGGGAUACUUAGUUUUCUUCCUUUUUUUUUUUUUCGGUACCAGGGAUCAAACUCAGGUCCUUGAACUUGCACAGCAGGCGUCGAAACCACUGAGCUAAAUCCCUGGCCCUGGUUUUCUUAUUUUAUUUUUUCUUUUCUUUUUUUUUCUUUCUUUCUUUCUUUUUUUUUUUUUGCAGAGAGCUGAUUUUAGAGGCAUCUAGACUAGCUUGCUGGAUGGAAGAAGGUGAGAACUGCCAUCAGUAGGAACAAGGCAUUCUCCAAGUUAUUUACCUCCCUCUUGGCCUCAGUAUGUCUCCACAGAGCUAAGGCCAAGUAGUUAAAGGAUAAAUUAAUCUGAUGAUGAGACUUUGGAGUUCAGGAUGAUGUGCCUUCUGCCAAUCCCACAGCCCAUGUCUGCCAGGCCUGAUAGGCAUUUACAGACCCCAUUCUUUUAUUUAUGUCUUUAGACAUAAGUAAUUAAGUAGGAUGAAGUAUGGGAAAAAGUGCUUUGUAAAUUCUGAAAUUCUCUGCUAUUACUACUCACUGAAACAGCAGAAGUGGCAGCCCGUGUCACACAAUAUCCCUCCAGCUAGCAUUUGCUGAGUAAAGGAACUGAAUCAAAACGUAAUUGGACAAGAGCAAGUCAAAAAUGGAAAUAAAAGAUGGAGAAGGUAGACAGUUGGUGUCCUCCAUCUAAAACUUUCCUUUAGUAGGGUCAAAUCAGUAAAUAGCUUAUUUUCAUUGGUAAUAGCAUGUAAAAGAUUUGCUAGAUAAAAAUCUAGAAAUGUCACCCUUGGUGAUUAUACAGGGGAGCAACUCUUUGUCUCCUAUCUGUGCUGAACAUGCAUUAGGGUUCCCAUUGCUUUGGACAUCUAUUGAAGUAGCCUUCACUGGACCCCAAACUCACACAAAUCCAAUGCAUAUGCAUGAAACGUCUGAGCCAAAGACCAAAACCACUGUCCUAACAACUAGUCAGUCAUGUAGCUCAGCCCUAGCACUGAGGCUUCCUGAUGAUCUUCAAGUGGGAUUCGAUCUUUGGUACCCAGAGAAUGGGCGAAAGUUUCAAGAAGAGAUUUCUCAAGCCUUGAGGCUUCACAAGAAGGAGAGAUUAAGGAAGAGAAAUGAUGAAUACAAAGAUGAAAACAAAAAGGAUUGUUUACAUGGGAGUUGA